UACAGAGGUCCCAAGCGUUGUUCGGAUUCAUUGGGCGUAAAGGGUGCGUAGGCGGCAUGGUAAGUCGGGUGUGAAAUCCCGGGGCUCAACCCCGGAACUGCACUCGAUACUGCCGUGCUGGAGUACUGGAGAGGAGACUGGAAUUUACGGUGUAGCAGUGAAAUGCGUAGAUAUCGUAAGGAAGACCGGUGGCGAAAGCUAGUCUCUGGACACUCACUGACACUGAGGCACGAAGGCUAGGGGAGCAAACGGU
rnacentral:rRNA from 1 species